UACGUAGGGUGCAAGCGUUGUCCGGAAUUAUUGGGCGUAAAGAGCUCGUAGGCGGUUUGUCGCGUCUGCUGUGAAAACCUAAGGCUCAACCUUGGGCUUGCAGUGGGUACGGGCAGACUAGAGUGCGGUAGGGGUGACUGGAAUUCCUGGUGUAGCGGUGGAAUGCGCAGAUAUCAGGAGGAACACCGGUGGCGAAGGCGGGUCUCUGGGCAGUAACUGACGCUGAGGAGCGAAAGCGUGGGGAGCGAACAGG
rnacentral:rRNA from 1 species